rnacentral:lncRNA from 15 species
UUGAGAAAUUCAGUGUUUUCUUCUCACUGAUCUAUUAUCUCUUUGGUUUUUUGAACUUUUCUAAUUUUGAUCAGAGUGAAGGCUCUGUGAAUAUAUAUAUAUAUAUAUAUAUAUAUAUAGCUUGGGUUCAUGUCUUUGAAGUUCAGUUCUUAAAUAAUGAUCUAAACUUUAAGUAUAACAAUUCCAUUUCAUUUUCUUCACAGAAAUGAACAAAAUGUGGGGAUAUAGGCCUAUUGUGUAUAUUUUUAAGGUAAAUCAAGAAGGCCUUGUGAGCUUUGGCAACUCCCAGGUUGAGAUGUCAAUUGCCAACCCCAGUUUAUUGCUACAUUAUCUAUAUGAAAAGCCACUUAUACUGAAUCAAUCAUUCUGAAUGCAAUACUGUAGAAGGCCUAGAGAGUUUCAAACAAGCACAACGAGAGAUCCUUGCACACUGCACCUGCAAUUUAUAGUUCCACCCUCAUUCAAUACCACAUACACUCCAUUUCUAUGUUCACUUUUAGCCACAAUUUCAAAAGCUACUUUUUUGUCUGUGUGUUCUUUCAUAAUACAGUGAUAACUCUUUAUACAUUUCCACUUCCUGCCAUGCUCGUGGUAUGUUAAAUACCCACUGCUGGCUCUGUAGUUAUUUAUAUUUCCUUUUUUUUUCAUUUAUCUUCCUCCUAUUGCUGCAGCGACCCCAUUUCCCCACUAAAACCUCAUCUUAUUUCAUACCCCACACUCUCUCUGUGUCUUUCUCUGAUGCCGGAAACACAUUUAUCUGGAGCACUGACACACUGAAAUCCAUAAGUGAAGGCUGUCAGAGCAGACAGAGGGACGGAUGGAGGCAGAUAGGCAGACAGAGAUGGAGAUGGAGAUGCAGGGGGUUGUGUGGAGUCAGGUAUUUACAGCAGUUAUCAUCCAAGGUAAUAAAGUUCAGCUGCAGUGGUUUCAGGGACGCCGGCCAAAGAGACAUUUGCAGCCUGUGACACCUGUGACACUUCAUACAUCAGACUGAUGGUCAUCUCACCGCAUAUUUAACACGCUGCCAGGGCAGCUUAUUGUUUCCAGGACAUUUGGGGCAAAUUUGUCAUUUGUAUGACUGCAAACUUCCAUUCAAAAAAAACAAAAAACUCAAAGGUUGUGCAUGUGGGAACACUGACCACACAUGACAUUUAUGUUUUCAAUUGUGAGAUAUUAUAUGUAAAAACGAUAUGAUAAAUUCACAUAUACUUUUUUAUGGUAAGAGCGAUAACAAUGGUAAUCAUAACCAAAAUAAUAAUAAUACAUUUUAUUUAUAAUGCGCUUUUCAUCAAAAGAUCUCAAAGUGCUACAGGUUAAAAACACAACAUAUUUGGACAUAAAAACAGUUUGCAUUAAAAGAUGCACUCAUUUUUACACAUAUACGUGUGUGCUUUCUGUUACAUACACAAACACAAGGAAAGGAGGCUCUAAAUCCAGCCAAUCAGAGGGCAGUUGAUGUAAGCAGUGGUGAGUGUGUGAACACAGUCCAGAUCUCUCUAGACCUACAGGUCCAUCUGUCACUGUUCCACUCAGCCUAUGAAGAAUCCCACAGUCACUGCUCUACUGCUGAGCCACUGACUGAGCCAGACUGCAUCUCACUCUCUCUCUCACACACACACACACACACACACACACACACACACACACACACACACACACACACACACACACACACACACACACACACACACACACACACACACACACACACACACACACACACACACACACACACAGUGUCAGAAUGGCUUUACGUUUUCCACUGAACAUGAGCAAACAAGCAAAUAUGUUACUUUCAAGUGCCUGUGACAACCUUAUGUGUCUUGCUAUCCCAUUAGACUCCCAUAUGAUUUAUCCAUACCUGACUGAAUGUUAGAAUGUUGACAACCACAGAGAAAGCAACAGAUAUAGUUAUAGUGACUUUAUAUAUUGUGGCUGGGUUUUUGAAGGUCAGUGGUGAUGGUUUUGUUUGCUUUCUCUUUUUUUUUUAAGCAGCAGAUUAAAGCAGCAGCAGUGGGAGUGGGUACUAAAGAUAUUUCUUCGUUAUAUUUGCUGAAACUUUAGUAAAUAAAGUAAACAGAUCAUCUGUGGAAAAAAGCAGGUUCCUAUGGCUCCUCCUAGUGCUCCUAAUGGUAUUUUCAAGAAUACACUGGGCCUGAAAAAAAAGCAAAAAAACAUGUAUUUGAUGCCCUGGGAAUGAGACUCAAAAAUCAACUAUGUUUCUCAGCUCUGAUUGGUUGUUUUCAUUGGUAUCAAUAGUCUUGCCUGGUUUAGUAAAAGUUAAAAAUCCAAAAUAAAUCACUGUUCCAAGCAAGAACCAAAUUUAAAUGGAGGUUUUAGAAAGGAAAAAAUUAUAUAAUGUGAAUAUAGGAAUUUACAUUUGCCUCCAUUGUACUGGGCUGGAGGCAAG